rnacentral:rRNA from 1 species
UAGCGUAGGGGGCUAGCGUUGUCCGGAAUCAUUGGGCGUAAAGCGCGUGUAGGCGGCUCGAUAAGUCUGUUGUGAAAGCCCAGGGCUCAACCCUGGAAUGCCGAUGGAUACUGUCGAGCUAGAGUCCGGAAGAGGCGAGUGGAAUUCCUGGUGUAGCGGUGAAAUGCGCAGAUAUCAGGAGGAACACCAAUGGCGAAGGCAGCUCGCUGGGACGGUACUGACGCUGAGACGCGAAAGCGUGGGGAGCAAACAGG